AUGGGGCUGGGCGCAGUGGGGGGCUGGGAGGGCAGCGGUUAUGGGGUGAUGGGGAGGCAGCUAUGGGGUCAUGGGGUCAGAGGUUAUGGGGUGAUGGGGAGGCAGCUAUGGGGUCAUGGGGUCAGAGGUUAUGGGGUGAUGGGGAGGCAGCUAUGGGGUCAUGGGGUCAGAGGUUAUGGGGUGAUGGGGAGGCAGCUAUGGGGUCAUGGGGUCAGAGGUUAUGGGGUGAUGGGGAGGCAGCUAUGGGGUCAUGGGGUCAGAGGUUAUGGGGUGAUGGGGAGGCAGCUAUGGGGUCAUGGGGUCAGAGGUUAUGGGGUGAUGGGGAGGCAGCUAUGGGGUCAUGGGGUCAGAGGUUAUGGGGUGAUGGGGAGGCAGCUAUGGGGUCAUGGGGUCAGAGGUUAUGGGGUGAUGGGGAGGCAGCUAUGGGGUCAUGGGGUCAGAGGUUAUGGGGUGAUGGGGAGGCAGCUAUGGGGUCAUGGGGUCAGAGGUUAUGGGGUGAUGGGGAGGCAGCUAUGGGGUCAUGGGGUCAGAGGUUAUGGGGUGAUGGGGAGGCAGCUAUGGGGUCAUGGGGUCAGAGGUUAUGGGGUGAUGGGGAGGCAGCUAUGGGGUCAUGGGGUCAGAGGUUAUGGGGUGAUGGGGAGGCAGCUAUGGGGUCAUGGGGUCAGAGGUUAUGGGGUGAUGGGGAGGCAGCUAUGGGGUCAUGGGGUCAGAGGUUAUGGGGUGAUGGGGAGGCAGCUAUGGGGUCAUGGGGUCAGAGGUUAUGGGGUGAUGGGGAGGCAGCUAUGGGGUCAUGGGGUCAGAGGUUAUGGGGUGAUGGGGAGGCAGCUAUGGGGUCAUGGGGUCAGAGGUUAUGGGGUGAUGGGGAGGCAGCUAUGGGGUCAUGGGGUCAGAGGUUAUGGGGUGAUGGGGAGGCAGCUAUGGGGUCAUGGGGUCAGAGGUUAUGGGGUGAUGGGGAGGCAGCUAUGGGGUCAUGGGGUCAGAGGUUAUGGGGUGAUGGGGAGGCAGCUAUGGGGUCAUGGGGUCAGAGGUUAUGGGGUGAUGGGGAGGCAGUUAUGGGGUCAUGGGGUCAGAGGUUGUGGUGGAACCCUCACAGUGGACCCACUUUGUAUCCCAGGCGGUGGCUUCGAGUGGGACGAUGACUUCCCACUGGUGCCGGUGAAGCCGUCGCUGGUGGCCUCGCUGCCGGGGACACCAGCGGAGCCCCCCGCGGCCGUGCCCGCCCUGGUGCCAGCGCAGAAACAGGUGCUGCCCAUCCAGUUCUCCCGGUUCACGGUCUCACCUGCCCCGGUGUCCCGGUUCUCCAUCACCCACGUCUCCGACUCGGACAUGGACUCCAUAGGAGGCAGCAGCGAAGACGGUGACCGGGAGUGAGCCCGCCGGGACGCAGCCGGCAUUGCCCCGGCUCCGGGGCGGCGCAGGACGGCGCGGGGGCCGCCCGUGGGCCCCCACACCCCGCUGGGCAGAUUUUUUUUAGGCAGAUUUUGUCGGAAGGAACUCGUUUGCUGCUUGGAGUGGGAGCGGGGCCGGCGCGGGGCCAGGCGGUGGGUGACGGUGACGCGUGCGGGUGGCUGCGAGCGUGCGUGUAAAAUAGACACUUAUAUAUAUAUAUAUACAUAUAUAUAUAUAAAUUAUAGCGUUUCGAGGGUAGUGCCCUGACCUUGCUAACAUUUGCCGAGUGUCCUCCCCCAGUGAAGUUCCCCCUUGGCUUCUUGCCCCCCCCCCCCCCCCCCCCCCCCCCCCCCCCCCCCCCCCCCCCCCCCCCCCCCCCCCCCCCCCCCCCCCCCCCCCCCCCCCCCCCCCCCCCCCCCCCCCCCCCCCCCCCCCCCC
rnacentral:lncRNA from 1 species